UAAUUAUCAAGGGUCAUAUAUCAUUAUUAAUUAUGAAAAAUAUAUGUUCAUCACAAAAAGAUCUAGGGUGCAUAAUACAUAAAACUGUUAUCUCUGGAUGAUAAGAUUCUGUUGAAGGCUUAGUUUUUCUCAGUGUUAUCGUUUUGUAUUUUCCAGAGUUAACUUUUCUGAACAUUCUCUUUUCAAUCAGAAGAUAACACACACACACAAAUAAAAUCAUCGGUAAGUAUUGUUUCAGGGAGACCAGGGUCUUACUCAUUAAGCCCCUAAGGUCUGGCCCUUGGGCCAUGUCCACUGGGCUUCUGUCGUCCUUAAUGAGUGUACAUCACAGCAGAUACCUGCCAAGCUGUGGAUUUUUAAUAAUUCCACUUCCUUCUUCUUUAAGUGAGAAGGCGGUCAGUGCCCUGGGACUAUGGGUCACCUCAGCACUGGGUGGCUCUGGCCCCGACAGUCGAAGCCUUGCACCUGGUAAUCUCUGCCCUCCAGAGCUGUUAGGGGAACCAGGUGCCAUCACCCCUGUGGGGACACUGGAAACCGACUCUCCCAUUAUUUCCUGUUGUGUUCCUGAGUCCCCUGGGCUUGGCGUCGCUAGCUUUUCUCUCCCUUCCCGUUGACAGGGAGACUUCUCUGGUGUGCUCACUGGGGCUUUAGCCCACUGAGUUGUGGAUAGAAUCAGCUGCAUAGCCACAAAGUAGCAUUUAUUUGUAGUUGAUACUAAGUUACCUGUUUAAGGCCUAGAAAUGGCACCAUCAGUGUUUUCUUUGCUUAAAAGUGGCAUAAACUGUUCCAUGUUUUUGUUUAUUUUUCCCUCUCCCUCCUCCCUAUCUCUCUUCCCCUCCCCCUCUUCCUCCUCGAUCUUUGCCUUGUUUUGCUGCUGCAGACUGAACCCAGUAAUCCGCACACACGAGGCAGCCUCUCCACCACUGCCCGCGCGCCGACUCCUCUUCCAUUUUCCUGAGAUGGAGAAUACUGAGUACACGGAACUUGGGCUAACUCUACAGGACAUCGACCGGAAUCUACAUUUCUGUGUACCGAGUCUAGAGCUUCCUGAUCCUCAGACGCGGAACAAUGCCUGGCCCAGAUGUUUGCUGGUGUAGCGCUCCAGCUCGGCUUAUGAAAAGGAGAUGGCCCUUACAGUCCCGGCCCUCAGACCUUCGGAGCCACGCCCUUUCUUUUGACUCCCUACACGUGGUAGCAGAAAGCAUUCCUUGCGACACAAUGGAACAACUUCACAGCCGCCCCCGGAGCUGGAGUUGGUAUUAAGUUACCUUUUUCAGACCACACCGGUUUACCGGAAUAGUUGGGACCAGGUCAGGGAAAGUGCGACAGCGUUACCAGCUUCGCUCGGGCCACACCUGGACGAAAAGUUGGAUGCAGAAACAAGAUCGAACUUGAGUGUGCUUUGGAAUUAAAAACAGCAAAUCGCUGCAGAAUGGAGACUGCCUGGUGGAGCUGUGUGAAAGGGGACCCGAGCCCAGGCUGUGUGGUUUAUUUCUGCUGGAACUCCCUGCUGGAGUUCCCAGGGGCUGGCCCCAGCCCAGACUCAGCUGUGCCUCCAGCAGCCGGCAGCUCCUGACCCAGCUGCACAUACCCGCCACAUCACUCCUCCUGCUGUAGAUUCAGAUCUACACCAGGUCUGCUCCUGCCCCAGACACAAGUUCCAAGCGGCACAGGCUGGAGAGAGCAUAAUUAACCUACCUCCCGGUCCAUCCUCUGACCGUCGAUAUUGGUGCAAUACAGAUCUUCUGCAUGGCAUUGCACUCCUAUUCUAGCUGCUGGCCCGCUGACUGUUUUAAUGAAAUUUAUAUCGGGUCUUAGGGGUUGUCAUUAGAUGAAAAUUAUGACUGAGUCUGCAGGCAACUCUCAGAUGAAUUUGGGAACCUCAAGAAUUAAUUAUGUUCAGAGAUGCUACAAGCUAUAUUGGUAAUUUCAUUUCUUCUCACUUCAAUUGAAUUUACCAAACAUUCAUUGCAUUCCUACUGUGUACCAAGCACUGUGGUCACAAAAAUGAGUGGGAUGUGGUUUGAGCCCUAAGGAACUGUGUGCGUGUGUGUGUGUGUGUGUGUGUGUGUGUGUGUGUGUGUGUGUGUAGAUUGAAACCAGGCCCUCCACACUAAGUUGCAUCCACCACUGCACACCUGGGUACCUUUCUAUGUUAGGUUAAACCAGCUUUUCAAGGCUGACCUUGAACUUACCAUCUUCUGGACUCAUCCUCCCAGAGUGCUACAAUUACAGGGGUGUGCCAUUAGCUCAGCAGUUCUUGCUCUAUCGAGUUUUGGUCCUCCUCAUUCUUCUCUCCUUUCCCAUACCCAGCAGGGUCUUGUUUCUGUUCUACACUGGGGGUAGGGGGUGUCUCUCUGUUGCUAUGGAUACAGGCUGCCCUAACCCCUUCCUGUCUUUGCUGGAGUCUUCCAGACUCUUGAGCACUGAAGCUCUGGGUGACGGGGUUGUUCUUCUGGAUUUGAAGAUGAGGUCGUUUGUCAUGAUCAAAUAAGUGGAACCAAAAGCUUGAUGAGCCAGGGAUUUGUCAGGGGACAAAAAUAGUUAUGCUGUGUUUUCUGAGUUAUGAGAAUAAAAGUGGUUGUGAUUUUUAAUUCUUCUAAAGCAUUUGAAGGUGAGGAAGACAAUACACAGAAGACUUGGGCCUUUUAUGCCUCUCUCUUGUUUUUACGAGUCCCCUGGUCAUUACAGACCACUCUCCCGGUUGAGGAUGGCUGUUCAGAAGUUUUAAUUGAAAAUUUGGCUUGCAUUUUCCAGUUUGGACCUACAGAUGAGAAUCUGCUUUGGGAAGCACAAGAAAAUGAGCAAUUUGCCUUGAAAAUAGGCAUAUUUUCCAGCUUCCUAUGACUAAUGGCACAUGAAGGGAGCCUAGUAAUCACAUAAUUAGUUUGCCAUUACUAAGAAAUCAUUGCAGGAUCUGUGAGAUGUGGUUUGCAAUAAUUUCAGUGGUUCUGCACCAACAACCUAGACUUUGGGGGCCCACAUUUGUCGACAAAGACCCAAUUUUCAUUGAUAGAGCGGUGGGGAAUUCCUCUAACUGGAGGACAAAGCUGAUUUUCUUUGUAUGUCCUUUAGAAUCCAAUCCUUGGACCAGGUUCAGGAAAAAACAUCCUCGAGAAUUUGUAAAUGUUUCACAAAUCCUUAGGCUCUACUCCAUUCAGAUGCUCUGACUUGAUUCCACGCUGAGUUUGAGAAUUUGAUGGAUUAUAUAUACGUUGUAAGUUUUCAGCAACUUCUAUUACUAUCCACCAUGGAUCCAGAAAGACAAGGCCACUUUUU
rnacentral:lncRNA from 1 species